rnacentral:rRNA from 1 species
UGGGGAAUAUUGCACAAUGGACGAAAGUCUGAUGCAGCAACGCCGCGUGGAGGAUGACACAUUUCGGUGCGUAAACUCCUUUUAUAUAGGAAGAUAAUGACGGUACUAUAUGAAUAAGCACCGGCUAACUCCGUGCCAGCAGCCGCGGUAAUACGGAGGGUGCAAGCGUUACUCGGAAUCACUGGGCGUAAAGAGCGUGUAGGCGGGUAUAUAAGUCAGAAGUGAAAUCCAAUAGCUUAACUAUUGAACUGCUUUUGAAACUGUAUACCUAGAAUGUGGGAGAGGUAGAUGGAAUUUCUGGUGUAGGGGUAAAAUCCGUAGAGAUCAGAAGGAAUACCGAUUGCGAAGGCGAUCUACUGGAACAUUAUUGACGCUGAGACGCGAAAGCGUGGGGAGCAAACAGG